CCUGUGUCACCAGAGACUGAGAAGCAGAAUGAGGUCACACUUCCUGUUGGGCUCACAUCAGUGGCAUUCACGCCCAGGAGGAUGGUGAAACCUCCAGUCUUCUGGACCAGCGACAGGCUUACACGCUUUGAAGAAGCAAGCUGCCAUGUUGGAAAAGCACACACGACCAGAAUCUGAGGGGUUAUCUGAAAUGCCAGUGAAGGACUGAAGCCCUCAGUCCGAUGGCUGGGAAUCCACUCAACCGCCACUGAUAAAUUCACUCCUCGGCCAGACUGUAAGCUUUAUGAAGGCAGAGAGCUUUGUCAUUUUUCUUCAUUGCUGGAGACCCAACAUCAAGGAUCCUGCCUGCCAAGAAACAGGGUUCUCUUCGUCUCUGUCGUCCCCAGCGGCAAACACAAGGCGGAUGCAAAGCAAGUCCUCAGAAGAUGCGUGUGUUCAUGGAGUCACAGAGCAUGAAACGACCACCCUCGGAGACGCCAGUGACUGGAAAUACGUGUCCCUGUGACUGGUGACAAAGAAACAUCAAGAAAUACCUGGCAUUGGUAUGUCGAUGAUAAUUUGCAAAACGUGUAAGAUUUGUUCUAUCGAAUUCGAUGUUCAUCACAACCCUGUGAAGUAGAUUUCCAACUCCCAUUUCUAUGUGAGGAAAGGAGCACCCGAGAAGGGUCUGGUUCCCAAACACUCUGGUAAAAGUGUCGGGUUUCACUUAACGACUCCUGGUUUUAUUCCAAACCCCUUGGCUCCAGAAUGCUUCAUCAUCUUAAAUUGCUAUAAAAAAAAAUAAUAAUCAUGGCAAGAAAUGAGUUAACGCAUGGAUUUCCUUUAAACGUAUAUGGUCUCCUAUGAUCUUCCUGAUACCCGUAGUUCUAAAUAAGAAAAGAAAGAAAACCGAAGGGUGUUUACUCUGAUCCUGAGGAAACGAACUCUGUUGAAUGUUUUGCAAAAAUACAAAAGAGGAAGUCAUCCAAUACCUGACCACAACGCGGUGUGGCUGCAAUAUUUUUUUAGCGAGGCAAGCCAGUCAACUGUGGCCAUGUUUGUACAGGCAAGUUCUCUGCCCCUCCCCCAGAGGGGAACCUUUUCAUCUGCGCGUCAGGCGUUUACUUUGGAGACGGUGGCAUUGUGUUCGGGUCCCGACCAAGAGAGCAGACGCUUAGACCAAUGGCCAAGGGACCAGCUAGAGCACAUACUCUGACCCUGCACGUUCUUGCUUGCUGACAGUCAACGUUGUAGCCAACCCACCUGUUUGUCUGUUUCACUGCCCAGUUCAGUGCCUCAGGAUGGGGAAUUAAGCCUAUUGAUCGUCAGCUCCUGGGGCCUAGCACUGACUUGGCCCGUAUUCCAUAAAUGCCUGUGGCAAGGAAAUGGAAGCGGAAUGAUAUUUUUUACUUGCCAGAGCCUGAAUCGAAGCUAUAAAGAACUAGAAGGCAAUAAUAAUUUUAGAAUCUGCACGGGCCUCUUGUUUGAAGCUUACUCCUCCGCAAAGUGUUUUCCAAAUGCCGCUUCCUCUCUGCAGUCUUCCUAGAUUUGCGGAGUCAGCAGAAGCACACCAAGAUAUGUCUAUUUCAAACCCGUGAAUAUUUAAUUGAAUGUUAAUAUUGAUACCGGGCUUGUUGUUUCUAUACCCAUCGCCCCAUCAUGGCAAGUUACCUUAGAACUGGAUACCUGGUUUUAUUUUUCUUCCUGUUCUCUCACUGUGUAUUGCCCAGUUCCUAGCACUCGGUAGAAUUUCAGUAAAAGAUUGUUGGGUGAUUACACAAAUAAAUGAAUAAGGGAAGAAUGAAA